rnacentral:rRNA from 1 species
CGCGUAGGCGGAUCGUUAAGUCAGAGGUGAAAUCCCAGGGCUCAACCCUGGAACUGCCCUUGAUACUGGCGAUCUUGAGUAUGAGAGAGGUAUGUGGAGCUCCGAGUGUAGAGGUGAAAUUCGUAGAUAUUCGGAAGAACACCAGUGGCGAAGGCGACAUACUGGCUCAUUACUGACGCUGAGGCGCGAAAGCGUGGGAGCAAACA